GCCUGCUUAGCAUAGUGGCUAAUGCGUUGCACUUGUAUAACCUUGUCCACUGUGGGUAAAACCAAAGUGGGUCAUUGUCUCGACAUGCAAAGAUCACAGGUUCGAUUCCUGUAGUAGGCA